UGCAUAUCACGCUGCGCCUUGGUCUGACCCGUAAGGGUCAGAUAUACCUGGUACAAUAAAAAAUAUGAUGGGUAAAAAAAGUACAUUUGUAAAAACUCUUUCCUCAGACCCAGUUCAACAUGCAGUGGUCACCUGAAAGUCUUGCAACAACUGAGCAGGGACAAGAGCCCUGCAUUAGCACACAAGGCCUCGGUGUCGGCAGUGCCAAGCGCAAAGGGGAGAACGUCAUCACCAAGCUAGAUGUCUGGACACGCAGCAGGGUUGUCCACCCACAGCAGAAGCUUUGUUGUGUGGCACCUUAUCGUUUCAGAAGGAGAUCAUGCGGGAGAAGAAAAUGAAGAUUGGUACUGAAAUUCUGUUUCUACAUGGUGUAUUUAUAGCUGGUGAUUGACUUCAUAUGGCUCAUAAUAAGGAUAACAUUUUACUGUGAAUGAACA